rnacentral:rRNA from 1 species
AGGGCACCACCAGGAGUGGAGCCUGCGGCUUAAUUUGACUCAACACGGGAAUACUUACCCGGCCCGGACACUGGAAGGAUCGACAGAUUGAGAGCUCUUUCUUGAUUCAGUGGGUGGUGGUGCAUGGCCGUUCUUAGUUGGUGGAGCGAUUUGUCUGGUUAAUUCCGAUAACGAACGAGACUCUAGCCUACUAAAUAGACUGUUCAGCUUUAUAGCCGGAAUCACUGGGCGUGUAGCUCUCCGCAAGGGGGGUUGCAUGUUCGGCUCUGGUGACGUUGGCAGUGCUUCUUAGAGGGACAGGCGGCGGUUCAGCCGCACGAAACAGAGCAAUAACAGGUCUGUGAUGCCCUUAGAUGUCCGGGGCUGCACGCGCGCUACACUGAAGUGAUCAGCGUGCAAUUUACGUUUGGUGAUCUGUCAAGAUUGCCCAACCCGUUGAACCUUCUUCGUGAUUGGGAUAGGGGAUUGUAAUUAUUCUCCUUGAACGAGGAAUUCCCAGUAAGCGCGAGUCAUAAGCUC